GGCGACGUGGGUGGUUCGCCGCCUGCGACGUCGCGAGAAUUCCACUGAACCUUAUCAUUUAGAGGAAGGAGAAGUCGUAACAAGGUUUCCGUAGGUGAACCUGCGGAAGGAUCAUUG
rnacentral:rRNA from 1 species